rnacentral:rRNA from 1 species
AGCCUGCCCACUGAAUAAUUUUAAAUGGCCGCAGUAUCCUAACUGUGCAAAGGUAGCAUAAUCAUUAGUCUUUUAAUUGAAGGCUGGUAUGAAUGGUUGGACGAGGUAUUAACUGUUUCAAAUAAAUUUAUAAUUGAAUUUUAUUUUUUAGUUAAAAAGCUAAAAUUUUAUUAAAAGACGAGAAGACCCUAUAAAUCUUUACUUUUAAGUUUAUUUUAAUUAUUAAGAUGAAUUUUAUUAUAAUAAAAUUAAAAGUUUUAUUGGGGUGAUAUUAAAAUUUAAUGAACUUUUAAUUUGUUAUGACAUUAAUUAAUGAAUAAUUGAUCCGUUAUUGGCGAUUAAAAAUUUAAGUUACUUUAGGGAUAACAGCGUAAUUUUUUUGGAGAGUUCUUAUCGAUAAAAAAGAUUGCGACCUCGAUGUUGGAUUAAGAAAAAUUUUAGGUGUAGUCG